UACGUAGGGGGCAAGCGUUAUCCGGAUUUACUGGGCGUAAAGCGCGCGUAGGCGGAAGUUUAAGUCUGGCCUGAAAGCCCCCGGCGUCAACCGGGACGGAGUGGCUGGAAACGUAGGGCGUUCUUGGAGGGCGGUUAGUAGGAGAGUGGAAUUACCUUCGGUGUAGCGGUGAAAUAGCGUAGAUAUCAGGAGGAACACCGAUGGCGAAGGCAGCUCUCUGGGGC
rnacentral:rRNA from 1 species